rnacentral:rRNA from 1 species
GAUGAACGCUGGCGGCGUGCCUAAUACAUGCAAGUCGAGCGAACAGACGAGGAGCUUGCUCCUCUGACGUUAGCGGCGGACGGGUGAGUAACACGUGGAUAACCUACCUAUAAGACUGGGAUAACUUCGGGAAACCGGAGCUAAUACCGGAUAAUAUAUUGAACCGCAUGGUUCAAUAGUGAAAGACGGUUUUGCUGUCACUUAUAGAUGGAUCCGCGCCGCAUUAGCUAGUUGGUAAGUUAACGGCUUACCAAGGCAACGAUGCGUAGCCGACCUGAGAGGGUGAUCGGCCACACUGGAAGUGAGACGCGGCCCAGAGUCCUACGGGAGGCAGCAGUAGGGAACCUUCCGCAAUGGGCGAAAGCCUGACGGAGCAACGCCGAGUGAGUUAUGAAGGUCUUCGGAUCGUAAAACUCUGUUAUUAGGGAAGAACAAAUGUGUAAGUAACUAUGCACGUCUUGACGGUACCUAAUCAGAAAGCCACGGCUAACUACGUG